CAACAAAGAGAAUGGCGUUCAACAUCUUCUUGCUAGUCAGGAUUCUUCAGGAGAAGCAGAGGAUUCUUGUGGCAGAGAUGGCCAACCACUAUAAAUACCUUUCAACUCAUCCUGGUUCCUUCAAAGAACUUUCCUGCUUGUUUGCUACUGAAAAAUUCGACAUGUGGCCUAAACGAAGAGGGGUUGAAAGGUCUAUGGAUCAUCAUUCUCAGAAAGCAACAAAAUAAC